CUCAGUGUAAAUUAUAAGGUUUGGUAAUUCAGUAUAUUUAUGGGAUGCUUAUCUGAUUGGCAUGUGUUAGAUCCGUGUUGAUUAUUAAGUAUACUAUGGUUUGUUUAAUGUUUCAGUAUAUUAACUUAAUAUAAAUAUAGACACAUAUAGUACUGGAUUUAAUGUGGACAACAGUUGGUUUCCAUCACCUUUCACGUAUUUCUGUUAUUUUCAGCGUAAUCAUCAUAGAUGGAUUCGACAAGAUAAAGCUGGAAGGUUUCAAGUUUGGUUUCAAGUUAUGCGCUACACGUUACCCAGGACUGUUAUUUGAAUUCCCUGACGUUAUAAUAG